CUCUCACUCUCUACCCGCUGGGCGGUACCCCGCAUCUCGCUCUGGCCGCCCCAGAGGUUCGCGGCUUCUGGACCUGCUGUGCCCCUCUCCAGCCUGGAUCAGGACGGAGAACACCCCCGAAACCCACCUCACCAGCACAGCCGGCGGACCCUUCCGGAGGUGGCCGCAGAGACUAGCCAACUUGCGCGCCCGCCGACCCGGACCACAGCUCCCAGCACACCUCAAGGGCCCACGCCCGCCAGGACUACAAUUCCCGGCGUCCUCCGGAAGCUCAAGUGUACCCAGGCGCGGUGCCUGCUGGGAAUUGUAGUUGACGUUGGUCAGCACGGAGGCCACAGGAUCCCAGCCCGGCCUUUGUGGGACUGAGGUGGCGCUGAGUGGGAGAGCAGCAGGCGAUGCGCGAAAGGCGGGACUUGGAGGUUCUGGAUGUUCCUGUGGAUAACCUCAAGGAGCACGGGACCUGGGACAUGACUGCCCCCAGCAUUCCUUCUGGCGGCAGACAGAGUUUGUCAGUUCGCCAACAUCCUGCUUUCAUGAGAACAGUUUGCUGUUUGCUCACAGAGCCUCCAGUGGUAUACUGAGUUGGUCACGACCCUCAUUCCUUCGGCCUCCAACAUCUCCCCUUUUGUUUUUGCAUUAAUUGAAUAAAGAUGACGUCACUGAGGUAAGGGCGGGUUAAAGCCUGUCCUAUACCAAGCAAGUUGUGCAGCCAACUGGGGGACUGAAUCCCAGUGUGAUGUGAUGAAGAGGUGUUGAAGGUCCACCAC
rnacentral:lncRNA from 1 species